UACGUAGGGUGCGAGCGUUGUCCGGAAUUAUUGGGCGUAAAGGGCUCGUAGGCGGUCUGUCACGUCGGGAGUGAAAACCCAGGGCUCAACCCUGGGCCUGCUUCCGAUACGGGCAGACUAGAGGUAUGCAGGGGAGAAUGGAAUUCCUGGUGUAGCGGUGAAAUGCGCAGAUAUCAGGAGGAACACCGGUGGCGAAGGCAGUUCACUAAGCUUGCAUUGACACUGAGGCACGAAAGCGUGGGGAUCAAACAGG
rnacentral:rRNA from 1 species